rnacentral:rRNA from 1 species
UACGUAGGGACCGAGCGUUGUCCGGAAUCAUUGGGCGUAAAGAGCGUGUAGGCGGCCAAUUAAGUCCUGCGUGAAAUCUCGGGGCUCAACCCCGAGCGGUCGUGGGAAACUGGUUGGCUAGAGUGCGGGAGAGGAGAGUGGAAUUCCCGGUGUAGCAGUGAAAUGCGUAGAGAGUCGGAGGAACAUCAGUUGCGAAGGCGGCUCUCUGGACCAGCACUGACACUGAGGCACGAAAGCGUGGGGAGCAAACAGG